rnacentral:rRNA from 1 species
UAGAGUUUGAUCAUGGCUCAGGAUGAACGCUGGCGGCGUGCUUAACACAUGCAAGUCGAACGGGGUUAUCAUUUUUGAAGCGAUUAGCUUGCUAAGAGUGGAAAAGUUGAUAACUUAGUGGCGGACGGGUGAGUAACGCGUGGGUAACCUGCCUUACACAGGGGGAUAACACUUAGAAAUAGGUGCUAAUACCGCAUAAGCGCACAGUCCCGCAUGGGACAGAGUGAAAAACAUUAGUGGUGUAAGAUGGACCCGCGUCUGAUUAGCUGGUUGGCGGGGUAACGGCCCACCAAGGCGACGAUCAGUAGCCGGCCUGAGAGGGUGGACGGCCACAUUGGGACUGAGACACGGCCCAAACUCCUACGGGAGGCAGCAGUGGGGGAUAUUGGACAAUGGGGGAAACCCUGAUCCAGCGACGCCGCGUGAGUGAAGAAGUAUUUCGGUAUGUAAAGCUCUAUCAGCAGGGAAGAAAGAAAUGACGGUACCUGAGUAAGAAGCCCCGGCUAACUACGUGCCAGCAGCCGCGGUAAUACGUAGGGGGCAAGCGUUAUCCGGAAUUACUGGGUGUAAAGGGAGCGUAGACGGUAAUGCAAGUCUGGAGUGAAAGGCGGGGGCCCAACCCCCGGACUGCUCUGGAAACUGUGUAACUGGAGUGCAGGAGAGGCAGGCGGAAUUCCUAGUGUAGCGGUGAAAUGCGUAGAUAUUAGGAGGAACACCAGUGGCGAAGGCGGCCUGCUGGACUGUAACUGACGUUGAGGCUCGAAAGCGUGGGGAGCAAACAGGAUUAGAUACCCUGGUAGUCCACGCCGUAAACGAUGAUUACUAGGUGUGGGUGGGUAUGGACCCAUCGGUGCCGCA